rnacentral:lncRNA from 1 species
GCAGUCGUCAGAAUGUAGAAUGGGAGUGGAAAUUCUCAGAACAAUUGUUAUCCUGAGACAGUGGUACCACAUACGGAAGAGCAGAGCUGAGAACCCGGGUGGGCACACUGUUCAAGGCCAGGGAAAGAAAGCAGACCAACUCAAAAGUCCGAAGUGUGCUAGAAAUGGAACCAAGAGAAUGGUGCAGUGUAAUCUCCGAACGAAGGAAACUCCAGGGGAACAGAGGCUUUCAGCUUUCAGGAAUAAUGUAAAAAAUAAAAAUUGGGCCGGGCACGGUGGCUCACGCCUGUAAUCCCAGCACUUUGGGAGGCCGAGGCGGGCGGAUCAGGAGGUCAGGAGAUCGAGACCAUCCUGGCUAACAAGGUGAAACCCCGUCUCUACUAAAAAUACAAAAAAUUAGCCGGGCGUGGUGGUGGGCGCCUGUAGUCCCAGCUACUCGGGAGGCUGAGGCAGGAGAAUGGCGUGAACCCGGGAGGCGGAGCUUGCAGUGAGCCGAGAUCGCGCCACUGCAAUCCAGCCUGGGCGACAGAGCGAGACUCCGCCAAAAAAAAAAAAUAAUAAAAAUAAAAAUAAAUACAAAAUAAAUAAAAAUAAAAAUUGGCCGUUGUUUCUGGUCACGAGUGACUUCAGGAUGACAGGUUUCAAUAGAGCAGUGGUUGUGACCUUCAGAACAUUUGGCAAUAUUUGGAGAUGUUUUCGACUGGCACGACCUGGAUGUGGAAGAAGAGCUACCGUCCUGCAGUAGGUAGAGUCCAGGGAUGCUGUUAAUCAUCUUUUCAUGCACAGUCCGGCCCCAACAACAAAGAAUUACCAGAAUAAGAAACUGCAGCAGAGUGAGAGGAUCCAGGUUCGUUCUGAAUGAGUUGGACAGAGAAUUUGAGUUUAGGGACAAGAUAAACUAAUAAAGAAUACUCUCUCAAGACCAAGCAAACAACCUAAGAACUAGAAGCAAUUUAUGUCUAGGAGCAAACAGUGUAUAGGAAAAACCAGAAUAAUGUACUACAAUAUUGAAAAACUAAAGCAGAAAAUUGCUUAUAAAAUAUUCUUAUCUAAAUGGCAUUGUCAUAUGUGGAUUUGGGAUGAGUAGGACAAUAAAAGAACUUAUGCUGUAAAGAUGAGAUAUGGGGCAAUCUAUGCAAGUUCAACAUAAAUCUUCAGCAAAAGAAAUACAGAUAAUAUAAACUUGGAUUAUUAAUGGCAUCAGAAAAAUUAUGGCAAAAGGAAGAGAUAACUUUCAUCAAGAAAGAAUAAAAUGCUACCCAAAGUUCAGCCUUUCAUAGGUCAGAAAUAAAGAAUAUAGAAGGAGAGUUAUAAAGAUAUAGAAAAUAAUCCAAUCACAGGCAAGAUCCAGACAUAUGUGGUACCUUGGAGUCAGCUAGGUUUGACACAUUAAUCUAAUAGAGCUGAUUGAAACAGGCCUAUAUUCUGUCC